UUCUCGCAGAACACUCUCGGAAAAAACAAUUCUACCAUGACAUGUUUGGUUAGAUCAAUCAUGUAAAACUGACAUCUGUAUAAUUUUUAGAAGCAGACUUUCGUAAGGUUAAAAAUUAAGGGAUGAUCCAAGUGCAGUAGAGACUUGAAUUAAUAAUUUAGUUUAACGGAACUGCUCUUGGCAGUGUUUUAAGCACUCCUGAAUAUCUUGGCGCCACAUGGAGGGAUGAUGCCUCUCUCCCUGAUGUCACUGCAAGCUUGCAGGCACCCAGCAAUGUUGCAGGAGGAGCUGAGAGACUCGAACCAGCUCCUGCCAGCUCCACCCUGGCAGUGGUCUGCCAAUACUGCACCAACACCUGGAGCCCAGGCCAGUCGAUUCAGACUCAGAGUGCUGCUGCCUGGGCUGUAAAACUCCAUCUACACUCCGAGACAGAGUCUUAGUGCCAGGCACUCAGGAGCCUACUGGGUAUUUGUUUUUUAACCCAGAGAUUAACCAGAGAUUAAAUGUAAAAAAACACUUAACAUCAAAA